rnacentral:rRNA from 1 species
GAUGAACGCUGGCGGCGUGCCUAAUACAUGCAAGUCGAGCGAACAGAUGAGGAGCUUGCUCCUCUGACGUUAGCGGCGGACGGGUGAGUAACACGUGGAUAACCUACCUAUAAGACUGGGAUAACUUCGGGAAACCGGAGCUAAUACCGGAUAAUAUAUUGAACCGCAUGGUUCAAUAGUGAAAGACGGUUUUGCUGUCACUUAUAGCUGGAUCCGCGCCGCAUUAGCUAGUUGGUAAGGUAACGGCUUACCAAGGCAACGAUGCGUAGCCGACCUGAGAGGGUGAUCGGCCACACUGGAACUGAGACACGGUCCAGACUCCUACGGGAGGCAGCAGUAGGGAAUCUUCCGCAAAGGGCGAAAGCCUGACGGAGCAACGCCGCGUGAGUGAUGAAGGUCUUCGGAUCGUAAAACUCUGUUAUUAGGGAAGAACAAAUGUGUAAGUAACUAUGCACGUCUUGACGGUACCUAAUCAGAAAGCCACGGCUAACUACGUG